rnacentral:rRNA from 1 species
CACGUAGGGUGCGAGCGUUGUCCGGAAUUAUUGGGCGUAAAGAGCUCGUAGGCGGUGUGUCGCGUCGGCCGUGAAAACCUGCAGCUUAACUGUGGGCUUGCGGUCGAUACGGGCAUCACUGGAGUUCGGCAGGGGAGACUGGAAUUCCUGGUGUAGCGGUGAAAUGCGCAGAUAUCAGGAGGAACACCGGUGGCGAAGGCGGGUCUCUGGGCAGUAACUGACGCUGAGGAGCGAAAGCGUGGGGGAGCGAACAGGA